CCGUACAGACUAGUACUAUAAUAUUUGUGUGUGUUUAAGGUACAAAAUUUUCAAGAGUAUUUUUGUAACUUUUAUUUCGAUAACAUUUUUCUACGCAUUUUCGGUUUCCAAAUUUCUGCCUAACAAUGCCAAUGGAUCCGCUCACCAGCAAUGCUGCUGGCGACACUGUUCGUUAUAUCGCGUUCAGGGCCAUUAAAUUCGUCCUACCAAUGGUCACAGAUACAGCCCUAUACCGUUAUUUUACCAUCAUCCAAAAUCAAAAAAAGGACAUUAAUGUGAAUACAUGGCGCUUGGUGAAGAUCACCCCUUUAAAUCCUAACGAUCCAGAAUAUGAGCGAAAAGUAGUUAGCCCAGAUUACGAGAACUGGGAGAUUAUAGCUUACAUACCCGCCGAUGACAUAAAGCAUUUGAAGAGUGAAGGAUAUAUCGCAUUCAUGUUUUGGAAACUAAAAGUUGACUAUAAUCCCGGAUAUGAUCCACCUGGAUUUUGGUUUGUAGACCGACGAGUUGGAAACUUUUGAUGGCUUUACAGAGAGUGGUGUAUCUGGCACGUUUUUCCUGAAUUUUCGAUUGUUCAAAUUUGAACUGUCCCCCACGGAAGCCCCCUGAAUCGAUCUACACGUCAGCGUUGAUGCGGAGAGAUUACGGAGCGGUUUAUUUGGCACGUUUUUGAAAAAUUUUCACUAAAUCGAAUUCGAUUCGAACGUCAGCCGUUGGCAAACGCUUAAUAAUAAAAGAACUUAUUUCUUAUUGAA